AGAAGAAGAAGAAGAAGAAGAAGAAGAAAUAAGAACCGCAGACAAUUUUCCUGACUGAUGAGCAACUGCCCAAGAAU